GGCGGCAAAGAAGCCGGAGUUGGUCUAUGUCUCAUAAUCCCUAGCUAGGUCCGGCGUUCGAGUCGCCGCGCCGCCACCA
rnacentral:tRNA from 1 species